rnacentral:lncRNA from 1 species
GUCUUUGUGUGUAAACUUGCAGCUUCAGAAAAGCNAAGACAAGCUACAGAGACAGCAAGAAGGAAACGUGGUCUCCUGCAACUGAGAAAGGAUGUUCUUCUCGUCCAGCUUCAGGAGCAUUUGAUUUAGUGGUUUCCGAAUGAACAGUUGGAUAAGAAGCUGUGUGUGAAAAAUGAAGAGCUAAAGUCGAAGAGCAGCAGAAUGGAGUAGGAACAUCGUGCAAGUUAUAUGGGCAGGCCAAACGUCAGCCAGAUGAUACCAAAAAGGAAUUUGAGGGGUCCAUGCUGAGCUUGUCAUUCCAGAAGUUGAUUUGGUAAGAACAGAGAAAUAUUUAACAUCAGAAAUGGAGCCCUGAAGCUCUCUGCUUUCGUUAGUGUUGCUGUGAAGAAAAAGAAGAAGGGGAUCUUAACAGGAGGAAUUUUCAUGACUGCUGGUAAGAAAGCAUGUGACAUCAACCCAAAGAUCUGGUGGAAUAUACAAGCAACUCGCAUAAUCA